AUGUCCACAGAGGAAUGAUUAAAUAUGUGGUACACCUACAGGCUGGAGUGUAAAAUGUACACAAAAACAAGAAGAAAUGCUCAUGAGAAAACGCAGUGAUAGACGCCUUUUCUAAACAGUUUCUGCUUUGUUUGGGAAAUUCUCAGGACAAAAUGUUGAACCAAACCAGGCACCCUCCGGGAUUCUCCCCCACCAGGAGAUUGGCUCGAGACAACAGUUUACAGCUUAGCUCUGUCCACCAUGGCGUCCUCCAGACUACCCAACUGAGAAGACACAGAAGCAAGUCAGGUGGACCCCGCACCUCCUCACCCCCUCCCCUGCAUGCUUUUCACACCAAGUUCCCUUUUAAAGACUCCACUUUCCUCCCCAAAAGCUGAAGCAAUUCCCUUAAGUCAGGAGCCUGUAUGUUUCCCCUUAACCAAGCUCUGGAAUGAAGUCCCUUUCUUUCUACCAGACCUCUCUCUGUUCAUUGGAUUCUGCAAGAGGCUGGACAUGGGUUCAGUUACGGCCUGACUCAAGAGCCCGUCUCCAACCUCCAUGCUGCACAGGAAGGGAAGAAUGUGACAUGGACUCAUUCUCAACCCAGGACCUGGUGACAAUUCAGUCUAUGGCCUUGGAGACCCUGUCUGCAGGCACGGACGGUGCCAUUAGGCUGGAAAAGGUUGGAACAGAGGGAACCCAGGGGCUGAGGGAAGAAGGACAAAGUCAGGAGGCUUGGAGAGGAGGUCCAGGUGAUGGUCGAGGCCUCUGCUUGGUUUCCCCAGGAAUGGUGACUCUGGGCAGAUGGAACAGCCUCAGCCAAGGCCAUUCAGAGGAUCACAAGGAGCAUGGCUGUCGCGGCACAAGAUGCUCCCGGCAGGGGUGAGUAUGGAGAGGCAGCAGCCACAAGGCCUUCAUCUGCCAGAAAGUGUCUGGACCUGAUCCCGAGGCUGUGGGGAGUCGACAUAGAAGAUCGUUCCUAAUUCUCAUAGCGGCAAGAUUAGGGCUGCAGGGUACUGAUUCUCUCUUCUGCGCCGGGCACCGUGCCAAGCACUUCCCAUGCAUGUGUAGCCUCAGUUCUCUCAGCAGCCUCAGGGGUGGGGACCACUAGUCCCUGCAACUUGCUGAUGAGGAAACUGAGGCUCAGAGAGACAAUGUCACUAGCCCAAAACUGCGUAUCUAGCUAGCAGUGGAGCUUGGCCUGGGCUGCUGACCACAGGGCCACACAGCCAGCCCCUCUCGUCCAGGGUAGUGGCCUGGGCAGGCUGGGGAGCAGCAGGCUGCCCUGCUGGCCCUAGUGGCCCUGGUGAGAGAGGAGCUGAGCCUGAAACCGGAAGCAGGGCCCACGGGGUGAGGAGGGUCUGCAGCUGGCAGGCCUGGUGGGCUGGUACCUGCAACCUAAGUGGGAAGGUAACAGAGCACCUGGCAAUUUGAAUAACAAUGAAAGCUUCCAGAAUGCAGACCCUCUGUGACAAUAACCCUUCCUGCAGACAAAAGCAGAGGAGUCAUGAGGCACAACACGCCUCAUCCCAGGUGAACUGGAGACAAUGUGUUCCCCAGCAGCGGCAGUGGCUUCUGUUAGUUGGCGCUGACUGUAUGCACGUGGGGUAUGGGGCUGGGAGCCUUCACGUAUUUUUUUUUUUGAGAUGGAGUCUCUGUCACCCAGGCAAUGGCGCGAUCUUGGCUCACUGCAAUCUCUGCCACCCGAGUUCAAGCGAUUCUCCUGCCUCAGCCUCCCAAGUAGUAGGGAUUACAGGCACCCAACACCAUGCCCAGCUAGUUUUUUUAUUUUUAGUAGAGACAGGGUUUCACCAUGUUGGUCAGGCUGGUCUCAAACUCCUGACCUCAGGUGAUCCACCCGCCUCGGCCUCCCAAAGUGCUGGGAUUACAGACAUGAGCCACCGUGCCCGGCCGCCUUCAUAAAUUUUUCUAAGGGAUUCUCACAGGGACCAGAAAGGGGGAGAUGCUAUUAAUCCUACUUUGUAAAUGUGUCCCUGCAAACAGUACAGGGACAUCAAGGAACCUAUUUGGGGCAAGAUGGCCAUCCCAAGGAACGCUACCUCAAUACGGAGAAAGAGACUCUGCUGACACGAUAGAGUUGAGGGUUUUGGCAGAGGGAGAUGAGGCUGGAUUAACUGGCUAGGCCUGAUGCCAUCACAGGGUCCUAAGUGAGAAAGGCAGGAGGCUCAGAGUCAGCAGAGGGGAUGUGGCCACGGGAGCAGAGGUCGGAGAGAUGUCCUUGCAUCUGGAAGGGGCCAAAAGCCGAGGAAUGUGGGUGCCUCUGGGAACUGGAGCAGGCAAGGAAAUGGACUCACCCCCGCAGCCUCCAGCAGGGCCCCGUGCUGCUGAUGCCUUGACAUGAGGUGUUCAUGAGUCUCCUUUCCAACUGCUGUCCUCCGGAUCUGUACAAGACUAAAUCUAUGUUGUUUUAAGCUACUGCAUUUAUGAUAGUUUAUUACAGCAGCUACGGGACACUCAUAUAAUACCCAAGAGAGAUGUGUGCAUUCAUUUCACCAGGAGACCUGGAUGCGAAGGUUCACAGCAGCUUUACUGAUGACGGUUAGAAGGUGGAAAUAACUGAAGUUUCCUCAAAAGGUGAUGGAGGAACAUGGCGUGGUACGUCCACACGAUGCAAUGGGCACAGAUCCAGGCUGAUAACUAUCACUGGGCACAGAUCCAGGCUGGGGCCAAGAUGGGAACCUUUAUCUUUUGCUUCCUGGCCAGAGUGCUCUGCCCCAGCACCUGCCUUGUCAAAGCCCUGGUGGACCCGUGGGAUCGCCCAGUUCUUGCACCUUCACUGGGAGGAAAGCAGAGACGAUGACUCCAUUUUACAGUUGGGUAAAGUGAGGCUCAGGGCCAUGCUGCCCAGGGAGGAGCUGAAGAGAGACCCGAGGCCUGCUGGGGACCAGAUCUUCUCAAUGGUGGUUCCUUUUGGUAUCCUCUCUACAAGCCCAGUGCAGAGCCUGGCACGUGGGAGAGCUUUAUGGGAGUUUGCUGAAUAAAUGGCAGAGAGCAGGUGUGGUGUGAGCUCUGGUGGCUGGACUCACCUUCCCAUCCCCUGCAGACCUGUCCUCCUGACAGGGUCCAAUGUGCAAGGGUUUGGGGCACAGUUGGAGUGUCCUGACGGAUGUAGUCACUCUCAGGGGAUGUCAGUCCACGGACACAGAUGCAGCAAGGUCCCUGGAGCCCUGCCGGCCUCCCUGCAUACCCUCUGCGCUCUGAGGAAUGCUCUCUGCCGGGAUGGGGCACCUCGGGCAUGGCAUGGGAGGCCUCUAAUGUGGCCCAAGAUGUUUAAACAGAGUCCUACAGGCCCCAGCCUGAAUUGGGCCCUUGGACGAGGUCCCCAACACACACACACCAGAGCCCCAGCAAUUCACAAGCCGUGUGACCUUGGACGACGUCCCCAACACACACACCAGAGCCCCCAACACACACACACACACCAGAGCCCCCAAAACACACACACCAGACCCCAACACACACACCAGACUGUUGACUUUUUCCUUCUGCCCUCAGUCCCCCCAUCUGUAAAAUGUGGCUGCUCACAGCCCCCUACUCUGAUUCUACAUUGAGGCCUGUAGUAUGCAGCCCUAAGACAGCCUCCAAAGAAUCCACCUGCAGCUACUCACACCCUCCUUUGGUACCCAAAGGAGAACAAAGGAUAGGGACAGAACCAAGUGGCUCACUUGUAACAAAUGGAUAGAAUAGAAGUGACAGGCAUGGGAUGUCCCUUCCAAGGUUAGGCUCCAAAAAAGUGGGUUCCACUGGGCUCUGCACCUUGAACUCUCUCUCCCAGAGCCCUCUUUUUGGGUGGUCAGCUGUCAUGCCAUGAGCUACCCUGCGGAGAGGCCCACCCAGUGAGCAACUGACACCGCCAGCCAACACGUGAACCUACUACCAGCCACCUGAGUGAGCUGGGAAGUGUAUCCUCUCCAGCAGAGCCUUGAGAAUGACCACAGUCUCAGCCAAUGCUUUGACUGCAGCCUCCUGAGAGAGCCCAAGCCAGGAGACCCAACAAAGCCACACCAUGACUUACACCUUUCUGACUCACAGAAAGGGUUAAACGCUUGUUUUAAGCUGCUGACUUGUGGGGUACCUUGUUACACAGCACCAGCUAGCUAAUACAAAGCCUCAGGGCAGUGCUAGAGAUUCUGGGAGAGGGAGGAUCUUGGAGAUUGUGCAUCUGGACAUCCCUCUACUCUACCCUCAGGGAACGAGCCUCUGACCUUGGCCUGCACACCCCAGUGAUGGGGAGCUCCCUGCUUACUGAGGCCAGCAAAUCUGCUGUGGAGCCAGGCUGCCUGGGAAGGUCUUCCCUCUGCCUCCUGCUUCCUCUUCCUACUGGUGCCAGCAUGGCUCUGGGGGUUCCCUGGCACCAGCCCCAUCCUUCAGGGAUGUGUGGGUUCCCCCAGAGUGAGCUGGCGUCUGGAUCAGGCUUCUCUGCAUCACAGUUUCAUCCCCUUUUCUGCUUUUUUCUGCUUCAGGGGAGAGUUGUUGGGAGGCAAGUGAGGGCUCGGGCCCAGCCCUGCCAUUCAGUGUGCACCUGGCAGAGAGGACCCCAGGAUGCACCAAUCUUCACUCAGCCUUAGCUCAAAGUCACCAUCUCCACCCGCCUCAGUUUACUCAUCUGCUACAUGGAGAUUUCUGUGAGGACAUGAAACACUGCAUGUAACAACACUUGGCACACAGAAAGCACUCAAGAAAUGUAUGUCUAUUGAGUCGGGAGAAAACAUAUUCAAAGCGGGGCCGCGGAGAUGCUUGAGGGAAUUUUUACUUUGUCUUUAGCAAAAUAUCUUGCUGGGCCAUCUAGAUGGAUGCAGAUGGGGAGGGGACGAGGCAGUGGGGGUGUGUGUGUGUUUCUUGGGGGGGCUCUGUCUGUUGGGGGGCUCUGGUGUGUGUGUUGGGGGCUCUGGUGUGUGUGUUGGAGGCUCUGGUUUGCGUGUUGGGGGCUCUGUGUUGGAGGCUCUGGUGUGUGUGUGUGUGUUGGGGGCUCUGGUUGUGUGUGUGUGUGUGUUGGCGGCUCUGGUGUGUGUCUUGGGAGGCUCUGGUGUGUGUGUGUGUGUGUUGGCGGCUCUGGUGUGUGUGAGUGCUGAGAGCUCUGAUGUGUGUGUGUGUUGGGGGCUCUGGUGUGUAUGUUGGGGGCUCUGGUGUGUGUGUGUUGGGGGCCCUGGUGUGUGUUGGGGGCUCUGGUGUGUGUGUGGUGGGGGCUCUGUGUGUGUUGGAGGCUCUGGUGUGUGGGUUGGGGGCUCUGGUGUGUUUUGGGGGCUCUGGUAUGUGUUGGGGGCUCUGGUGUGUGUGAUGUGGGCUCUCAUGUAUAUGUGUUGGAGGCUGUGGUGUGUGUGUUGGAGGCUGUGGUGUGUGUGUUGGGGGCUCUGGUGUGUGUGUUGGGGACUCUGGUGUGUGUGUGUUGGAGGCUCUGGUGUGUGUGUGUGUUGGGGGCUCUGGUGUCUGUGUUGGAGGCUCUCGUAUGUGUGUUCGGGGCUCUGGUGUGUGUAUUGGGGGGCUCUGGUGUGUAUGUCUUGGAGGCUCUGGUUUGUGUGUUGGGGGGCCCUGGUGUGUGUGUGUGUGUUGGGCGCUCUGGUGUGUGUGUUGGGGGCUCUGGUGUGUGUGUAUGUUGGGGACUCGUGUGUGUGUUGUUGGGAGGCUCUGGUGUGUGUGUGUGUUGGGGGCUCUGGUGUGUGUGUUGGGAGGCUGUCGUGUGUGUGGGGGGGCUCUGGUGUGUGUGUGUGUAUGUUGUGGGGCUCCGGUGUGUGUGUUGGGAGGCUCUGGUGUGUGUGUUGGAGGCUCUGGUGUAUAUCCUGGGGUCUCUGGUGUGUGUGUUGGGGGCUCUGGUGCGUGUGUGUGGGGGGGCUGUGUAUAUUGGGGGCUCUGGUGUGUGUGUGGGGGGCUGUGGUAUGUGUGUUGGAGGCUCUGGUGUAUGUGUCGGGGGGCUCUGUGCGUGUGUACUGGUGACUCUGUUGUGUGUGUGUUGGAGGGCUUUGGUAUGUGUGUUGGGCCCUGUGUGUGUGUGUAUUGCGGGCUCUGGUGUGUUGGGCUCUGGUGUAUAUGUUGGGGUCUCUGUGUUGGGGGGCUCUGGUGUAUAUGUUGGGGUCUCUGUGUUGGGGGCUCUGGUGUGUUAGGGGGCUCUGGUGUGGGAGGCUCUGGUGUGUGUGUUGGGGGCUCUGUUGUGUGUGUGUAUUGGGGGCUCUGGUGUGUUGGGGGGCUCUGGUGUGUAUGUUGGGGGCUCGUGUGUGUGUUGGAGGCUCUGGUGUAUGUGUUGGCUCUGUGUGUGUUGAAGGGCUCUGGUGUGUGUGUGUUGGCUCUGGUGUGUGUGUGUGUGUGUGUGUGUGUGUGUGUUGGGGGCUCUGGUGUGUAUGUGUUGGAGGCUCUGGUGUAUGUGUUGGCUCUGUGUGUGUUGAAGGGCUCUGGUGUAUGUGUGUUGGCUCUGGUGUGUGUGUUGGGGGCUCUGGUGUGUGUGUGUGUCUGUUGGGGGCUCUGGUGUGUAUGUGUUGGAGGCUCUGGUGUGUAUGAGUGUUGGGGGCUCUCGUGUGUGUAUAUGUGUUGGAGGCUCUGGUGUGUGUGUGUUGGCUGUGGUGUGUGUGUUGGGGGCUCUGGUGUGUGUGUUGGGGGCUCUGGUGUGUAUGUUGGGGGCUCUGGUGUAUGUGUUGGGAGCUCAGUGUGUGUGUAUUGGGGGCUCUGGUGUGUGCGUGGAGGGCUGUGGUAUGUGUGUUGGAGGCUCUGGUGUAUGUGUUGGGGGGCUCUGGUGUGUAUGAGUGUUGGGGGCUCUAGUGUGUGUGUCAGGGGCUCUGUGUGUAUUAGGGGCUCUGGUGUGUGUGUUAGGGGGCUCUGGUGUGGGAGGCUCUGGUGUGUGUGUUGGGGGCUCUGUUGUGUGUGUGUAUUGGGGGCUCUGGUGUGUUGGGGGGCUCUGGUGUGUAUGUUGGGGGCUCGUGUGUGUGUUGGAGGCUCUGGUGUAUGUGUUGGCUCUGUGUGUGUUGAAGGGCUCUGGUGUGUGUGUGUUGGCUCUGGUGUGUGUGUGUGUGUGUGUGUGUGUGUGUUGGGGGCUCUGGU
rnacentral:lncRNA from 1 species